rnacentral:rRNA from 1 species
GAGUUUGAUCAUGGCUCAGGAUGAACGCUGGCGGUCUGCUUAACACAUGCAAGUCGAACGGAACCUUUCGGGGUUUAGUGGCGGACGGGUGAGUAACGCGUGAGAAUCUAGCUUCAGGUUCGGGACAACAGUUGGAAACGGCUGCUAAUACCGGAUGUGCCGAGAGGUGAAAGCUUCAGUGCCUGGAGAUGAGCUCGCGUCUGAUUAGCUAGUAGGAGUGGUAACGGCACCCCUAGGCGACGAUCAGUAGCUGGUCUGAGAGGAUGAUCAGCCACACUGGGACUGAGACACGGCCCAGACUCCUACGGGAGGCAGCAGUGGGGAAUUUUCCGCAAUGGGCGCAAGCCUGACGGAGCAAGACCGCGUGAGGGACGAAGGUCUGUGGAUUGUAAACCUCUUUUGACAGGGAAGAAGAACGUGACGGUACCUGUCGAAUCAGCCUCGGCUAACUCCGUGCCAGCAGCCGCGGUAAUACGGAGGAGGCAAGCGUUAUCCGGAAUUAUUGGGCGUAAAGCGUCCGUAGGUGGGCGACCAAGUCAGUUGUUAAAUAGUGAAGCUUAACUUCAUAGAGGCGACUGAAACUGGUGGUCUAGAGAGUGGUAGGGGUAGAGGGAAUUUCCAGUGUAGCGGUGAAAUGCGUAGAUAUUGGAAAGAACACCGGUGGCGAAAGCGCUCUACUGGGCCAUGACUGA